rnacentral:rRNA from 1 species
UGGGGAAUUUUACGCAAUGGGGGAAACCCUGACGUAGCGACACCGCGUGAGCGAAGAAGCCCUUUGGGGUGUAAAGCUCUGUCAGCAGGAACGAAUAAAUUGACGGUACCUGCAGAGGAAGCAUCGGCUAACUACGUGCCAGCAGCCGCGGUAAGACGUAGGAUGCAAGCGUUGUCCGGAUUUAUUGGGCGUAAAGAGUUCGUAGGCGGUUUGUUAAGUCUGGUGUUAAAGGCGCGGGCCCAACCCGUGUAAUGCCCUGGAUACUGGCAGACUCGAGUAUGGUAGAGGCGAGUGGAAUUCCCAGUGUAGCGGUGAAAUGCGUAGAUAUUGGGAAGAACACCGGUGGCGUAAGCGACUCGCUGGGCCAUUACUGACGCUGAGGAACGAAAGCUAGGGGAGCGAAUGGGAUUAGAUACCCGCGUAGUCC